CAGGAGUGAUGCUGAGCUGUGCCAUCUUACAGAGGCCCGAGCCCAGUCUGGAACAGAAUGGGUUCAGAUCUAGCUGAUGACAAUUCUGAAUAGUGCUGGGCUGGAGCUCUGUCAGCAAAACCCAUGUGUGCUGUCACCAUGUGCACCUGCACUGCUGCUUGUCUUGUGCUUCUGUUAUUCCUGCUCACUUUCCUAUUGCAAAAGUCCCGGAUCUCCCCUGAAAGGGCAUAAACUGCAGGUUUAAAAGCAAAUCUAAUGGAUGUUGGAGAAAUAAACCACCUUUAUCCUGGGCAUUUGGUGCUCAGUCCCACUGCUUCUGCAGAGCUCAGGCUGCACAGGCACAGCACUGCACAGCUCUUGGCUCCUGUUCAGAUCUCAAGACGUCUUCGGCGAUAAGGAGCAUUGUGGCUUCCAAUGGCAUCGAUGGGCUCUUGCACAGGAGGCACGGCAUCUUCUGUUGUGUUGGCUGGAAAUAAAGCCGUGAGGCACAGCCAAAACCCAGCUUUCUGACUGCAAUAAAGUGCCAAAAUGUCACUCCUCCUUCUGUGCUCCUCACUGGAGCAUUCCUUCCCUUCCUACACGUAUAUCGCUUGCUUUGUGGUUCGUCAGCUCUGGGUGGGCUGUGCUGCCCAUGCUGCCUGAUGGAGCCCGAGUGGAUCUGCUUGAGAACGUGCUUCAAUCUCACCUAUGUUUUAUUCCUGGAUAUAUCCUGGCUUCAGCACAUAUCAAGCCCUUUGUUGAGCCAAGGCCCCCGCCAACACAUCAAGAAUUUGGAUUCCUUUACGCUGCUCAUUGUCCUUCAGAACUAAGCAGUGCCUCUUCCCAUGCGUUUGAAAGGAAAAAAAUUCAGUUUUGUAGCAUGGUGAAGAAGCUGGGUGAAUGUUUAGAGUGGCAAAGCCCAAGGCAGUCUGUAUUACAUUCUGCUAACUUCAUCAGGCGUAGGUCUUGCUGGAGGUGAGUGUGCAACAGGGCUGUCUUCAAUAAGAGGCUCAGGAUAUCUAGGGAGCUUUAGCUGUGAAGGCUCCUGUAACUCCUGCCAAAGGAGAAAGACUUUAAAACCUUCCUUUGCCUUGCUCGCUUUCUGUCUAUUGUAUUAUUUAAUCUCACCUUCGCUCAGCAGAGUUCUUAUGUGUUGAAAGGAAAUGAAAUCUCUGCUGUGUUAUUAUUGCUCUCUGCUUAGAUAAAUAGUGUUGUGCUGAAUUCAGGGCAAGGCUCGCCAGCUUUUA